rnacentral:lncRNA from 1 species
UCCCGAUAUAGAUAAUCUUGAAGUAAUUCUUGAUUCUUAGAUCAACUAGAGAACUCUCAGGAAACUUCCUCUCUUCCUACCAAAAAUAUUCAUAUAGUUAUCCUUGGGCGAUCUUGGAUCUUAAUUAGUACACUCACGUUCCCUGUGGAAAAUCGAUACUCUGGAAUACUCCCGGGUGAAGGCUACAUCGGUAUCCGUGGGCUUACGGAUUUUUCUGUUUGCUUUUAAAAUACCC